GGGUCAUUUUAUGAGGAAUAAACGGCAACAAUAUGACACGAGCUUUGCUCCUGUGAUUCCUAUGUAUUUAAGUCUCUGAUGAUC
rnacentral:snoRNA from 1 species